GAGGUGGUGGACAGAAAACUUCUGCUUACCUUUCCCGAGGAAAGGCAGGAAUCAUCCAGCCACGCCCUGCAGACAGGGGGCAAGGGGGGCGGGGAAGGGGCAACUAUGGCCAUCAGGCAGUAUACCAAACAGGCCUCCAUGGUGGGUACCAGGUGGGAAAUCAUGCUGGCUACCAGGGUGGGUACCAGGCACAAAAUCAGGGUGGGUUCCUGGUUGCAAACCAGGCUGGGUACCAGGCAGGAAGUCAGGGUGGAUACCAGGGUGGGUACCAGGCAGGACAGCAGGGCGGUGGUGAUGGGGCCUACAGUGGUGGCUAUCAAGGCUACGAUGGCGGCCUUCAGAUUGGUCAAUCACAGAGUGCUGGAAAUGCUGUAAAUAAAGGUGUGAAGCGCCCCUGGGGUCAGAGCCAGCCACAGAACCCGGCAAGCACCUGCAACCCAUACACACAGUUCGUCCAGUUCCAACCAGCCAGCAAAAAGUUCCAGACUCAGGAUGGGCUCAUUGUGACAGGGCCUCAGGGCCAGGCCUUCAUGGACCUGGGGUACUGAGGACCUUCAUGGACCUGGGCUACUGGACCUUCAUGGACCUGGGCUACUGAGGACCUUCGUGGACCUGGGGUACUGGACCUUCAUGGACCUGGGGUACUGGACCUUCAUGGACCUGGGGUACUGGACCUUCAUGGACCUGGGGUACUGAGGGCCUUCAUGGACCUGGGGUACUGAGGACCUUCAUGGACCUGGGGUACUGAGGACCUUAAUGGACCUGGGGUACUGAGGGCCUUCAUGGACCUGGGGUACUGAGGACCUUCAUGGACCUGGGGUACUGAGGACCUUCAUGGACCUGGGAUACUGGACCUUCAUGGACCUGGGGUACUGAGGGCCUUCAUGGACCUUGGGUACUGAGGGCCUUCAGGGACCUUGGGUACUGAGGGCCUUCAGGGACCUGGGGUACUGAGGACCUUCAUGGACCUGGGGUACUGAGGGCCUUCAUGGACCUGGGGUACUGAGGACCUUCAUGGACCUGGGGUACUG